UCGGGAAUAUUGCGCAAUGGAGGAAACUCUGACGCAGUGACGCCGCGUAUAGGAAGAAGGUUUUCGGAUUGUAAACUAUUGUCGUUAGGGAAGAGAAAGGACAGUACCUAAGGAGGAAGCUCCGGCUAAACUACGUGCCAGCAGCCGCGGUAAUACGUAGGGAGCGAGCGUUAUCCGGAAUUAUUGGGUGUAAAGGGUGCGUAGACGGGAGAACAAGUUAGUUGUGAAAUACCUCGGCUCAACUGAGGAACUGCAACUAAAACUGUACUUCUUGAGUGCAGGAGAGGUAAGUGGAAUUCCUAGUGUAGCGGUGAAAUGCGUAGAUAUUAGGAGGAACACCAGUGGCGAAGGCGACUUACUGGACUGUAACUGACGUUGAGGCACGAAAAGUGUGGGGAGCAAACAGGAUUAGAUACC
rnacentral:rRNA from 1 species